rnacentral:rRNA from 1 species
UACGUAGGGUGCAAGCGUUGUCCGGAAUUAUUGGGCGUAAAGAGCUCGUAGGCGGUUUGUUGCGUCGGCUGUGAAAUCCCGAGGCUCAACCUCGGGUCUGCAGUCGAUACGAGCAAACUAGAGUGUUGCAGGGGAGACUGGAAUUCCUGGUGUAGCGGUGAAAUGCGCAGAUAUCAGGAGGAACACCGGUGGCGAAGGCGGGUCUCUGGGCCGAUACUGACGCUGAGGAGCGAAAGCGUGUGGAGCGAACAGG